GAUGAACGCUGGCGGCGUGCCUAACACAUGCAAGUCGAGCGAGGCAUUUUGAAGGAAGCUUUCGGAUGGAAUUUGAAAUGACUGAGCGGCGGACGGGUGAGUAACGCGUGGGUAACCUGCCUCAUACAGGGGGAUAACAGUUAGAAAUGACUGCUAAUACCGCAUAAGCACACAGUACCGCAUGGUACGGUGUGAAAAACUCCGGUGGUAUGAGAUGGACCCGCGUCUGAUUAGCUUGUUGGCGGGGUAACGGCCCACCAAGGCGACGAUCAGUAGCCGACCUGAGAGGGUGACCGGCCACAUUGGGACUGAGACACGGCCCAAACUCCUACGGGAGGCAGCAGUGGGGAAUAUUGCACAAUGGGGGAAACCCUGAUGCAGCAACGCCGCGUGAGUGAAGAAGUAUUUCGGUAUGUAAAGCUCUAUCAGCAGGG
rnacentral:rRNA from 1 species